rnacentral:rRNA from 1 species
CUGCUGCCUUCCGUAGGAGUUUGGACCGUGUCCCAGUUCCAAUGUGGGGGACCUUCCUCUCAGAACCCCUACUGAUCGUCGCCCCGGUGGGCCGUUACCCCGCCGGCAAGCUAAUCAGACGCAUCCCCAUCCUUUACCGGCCGAAGCCUUUGGUCAUGAAAAUAUGCAUCAACAUGACAACAUACGGUAUUAAUCCGCCUUUCGACGGGCUGUCCCAUAGUAAAGGGCAGGUUGGAUACGCGUUACUCACCCGUGCGCCGGUCGCCAUCAA